rnacentral:misc_RNA from 1 species
GGAAUAGGGAGCCAAAGUUCCUCGAGAAUGAAGACAAACUGGCAAGCCAGUUGCUUCGUUCUGCACUUAAUAAAGUGAUCAUACUCCGAGACCAAUAUGAUUGGUUCAUAGCGAAAAACGCUUCGGAGAUGUACUUUCCUCUGAGUUAUUACGAUAACCCAGAAGAGAAAGUACCUCUAAACGAUCUACCAGGGCCAUACUUAGCCUUGGUGACCGAGAUCGAGCAAUUCUUUGAAAUGCUGAUCGGUUUAGAGAUGAANUGGACUGAUCGUCCAGAGGCUAUAUACCAAGACCUUUAUAUGGAAAUGGAUGCCACACUUUAUUACGAAGAGGCCCUUGAACUUCACGAAAGAGUUGAUAAACUCGAGUUUAAACUUAAACCUUAUGAAGGUCGAGUUAAACCCGGGAAAACAAUCCACGAGACUGCGCCCAUACUUACUGCUUUACGCGGUAUUCUGGGGAACUAGUCUACGUAAGAUGGAACAACUCUCCUAAUCCAGUAACUAUUAGUACGUUACUGAGUUAGGUCGUGGUAGGAAUCUCCCGCCCUGAAAAUCAGAUGAAAGGCUCCUCCAAUAGAGAGACCGACCCUUUGGGACGACUUCUACGAUGAGGAUUCUAUCUNUNAACUUCUNGACACUUCGAGAAANUUNUGUUAAGUUUAUUAACAAUAAAAACCAUACCUUUAGGUCCGGGUGAAANACCGGGUAACCAUGGAGGGUAGUUCUUAUCAGAAGACUCCAAGAAACGGAAGAAGAAGAAAGAUGUGUCCAACUCGCAUAAAAUCUAUGCGCAUCGGCCUAACCAAGGGCACUGGGUGUUAUACCAGGUAACUUGGAAGGGGACCGACGGUGUGGAAACCUUUCUAUCCGAUUCAAUCGGUGGAACUUCUUAUUUUUACAAACCAGAGUGGUUCACUGAAGAACCCUUCUCGGCUUAGUACUAACGAGGCAUUUCUUUACAGAUANGCGCAGUUAGGANUAAGGUCCGAUCUUAAC